CACAAAGGGUCAUUAUACGUUAACCAAAGAUUAGAGAUAUAUGAUUAACCGGUAAUUGAAAGCGUGUUGAUGUUUAUCCUUAUACUGCUACAAUAUUGACAGUUGGAAUGGUGUGCAAUGGUGAAGUUCUAUUUGCAUUACCUUUGUGCAGUUUUGCAGUUUAUUACGUCCUCAGGAAAAGGUGAAGGUGCCUUUUUUGUAUUGGGAACGGAUGCAGUGUGUUAUUGUUAAAAGAAGGAUUUGUGACAUGAAUUGGUAAGUAAC